GAGAAGAAAUGUGAAUUUUAUACAUUAUGUGACAAAAUUAAUGUCACCCAUCAACACAACAGCAAAGUCAUCAAACGUUUUAUUUUGCACAUACUGCACCUCUGCACUUUUCUCUAAAUUCUCAAUUCUCUGAAGAAAUCUUCAAAUUAUGACAUAUGGUAGGUAAUGAUGACAAGUCAAAAUAUAACCUUAACAAAAAGAAAAUUCAAAUAAUGCUUACAACAAAGCUUCUUUUUUUUUUUUUGCCUAUCCCGUUGGAUCUUUAGCCAUCAGAAUUGUUGUCUUAAGGCCAAGAAAGAUGCCAAGUGGAUUUACUUUACCAAGUGGAUCAUCAUGGCCUUGCCAUAUUGGUCCAUUUGAUUGACCUUUAUUAUAAUUAUGUAUUUAUUUUAUUUUCGUGUCGGGACAGACAUGACUGGGGGAUAGGACAGGGAGAAAGAAUGAAAGAAAGAGAGGGAGAGAAAGAAAAAUAGAGGGGAGAAGAGACAGGGAAAGGGGGGAGAAAAAAAAGAAAAACAAACAAAACACCUGGAUCACCUGUAUGGAGAUAAAGAGCCAGAAGAGAAAACAAACAACAAAGAGCAACAUAAUAAAAACAACACCAUCGCAACAAACUAGCUAACAAUAGAUAACAAUAGAUAUUUUUUUAAUUUCACCUGUUGAGAAUGAAAAAAGAAAACAAGCAGAAGAAAACGAGAGCAAUACAAUAAACAACAUCACGAUGAUAUAUGGGAAUAUGACAGUAAAUACUAAAUAUUAAACAUUAUUGUGCAGCACAUAAGAUCGACAGCGCAGUGUGCUUUGAGGUAGGAGCCAAAAAGGGUGUUGUUUGUGUGUGUGAGCACCCGUGUGUACACCUUGCUUACAACAAAGCUGAUGAUAAUAAAGUAAUAAUCAGCAAAAAAGUACAAAAGGAGAAUUCAAAGAAAUAUGCUGAAAGUUUACAGGCAAAAAACAGGUCGAUAACUAACAAAUACAAAUACACAAGGAGCAAACAAUGCAACCAAUCACCUUUCCUACUCCUGUAGAAAAAGGCAGGCACUCAAAAAAAAUGGAAGAAAAUGAGACAAGUUAAUGACACACAAAAGAAUCAAACCUCAAAACCACAACAAUAUCCACCAUCCUUCUUUAAUUUUAACUUUUUCUUUCUGACUGUAAUGAAGCCAAAUCAUG
ensembl:lncRNA